rnacentral:snRNA from 1 species
UUGAGACAUUAGACAUACCA